rnacentral:lncRNA from 1 species
AAUAAUAUGCAAAAUAUUAUUACUAUUUCAAAAAUAAAUAUUACAAAGAUUAUUAUGAAAAUACAAGCAAUAUUAAUACCAAGUAGAAUAUCGAGCUGGAAUUGUGUAAGAUAUAAAUGAAGAGUGAGGCCAAAGAUCUGUGAUUUAGGAGAAUCUCCAUUCUCUAACGUAGCCACUACCAUCAUAUUAUUUUUUUUUUUAUUUUAUGUUUUUUUUUCCUUAUUUUUUUUAGUCAAUUUUUUUUUUCCUAUUCCGACCGUUCCGGUGCCGUUUCGGCCACGUCGGGGCCGUUCCGUGGCUCCGUCUCGGCCAUCCCACCGAUUUCUCGGUGUUCCGAUGAGCCACGGUGAUACACCGUUCUGAAUACGGAUUCUGGAACGGAGGGCACCGUUCCCGUUCCGGAACGGCCGUUCCGACCGUUCCGACGCCGUUCCGGCGAACCAUGAUUCCGCCAUAGAAUCAUCUUCUUCAUGAGCAUUUCAUUAAGCCCAUUUUCUCCAUUACAACAGCAAUUUCACCCAUUUUCAGCAACUCCAUUGCCCCCAAUAAGCUAAAAGAAACACCACCUGCCAUACCCAAACCACCCACCGUUUUUCCAACUUCUUCAUCCAUUAUCCAUCUCCUCAACAAAUCUACAUUCCCCCUUUUUCUCUGGUAAUUUUUAUUUAAAAUAAAUACCUGGCAAACAAACACGAUCUAUCCAAGUAUAUUACACCGGUUUGACAAAUAUUGCAUAGUGAAAUUGAUGGGGUUCGUUGGCCACCAAGGUGUCUUUUCCCUCUCCCUUCGUCUUAUCUCUGUUUUUCCUUCUCGUCCCUCUCUUUUGAUAGGGAGAGAACCUGCUGCCCUAGAGAGAGAGGGCCCAUUUUGUUGGGCUCAAAAAACAUGUGGUUAGUGGGCUUGGGCUGGAGAGAGAAAGAGGGCUUAGUUGG